GAUGAACGCUGGCGGCGUGCCUAAUACAUGCAAGUCGAGCGAACGGACGAGAAGCUUGCUUUUCUGAUGUUAGCGGCGGACGGGUGAGUAACACGUGGAUAACCUACCUAUAAGACUGGGAUAACUUCGGGAAACCGGAGCUAAUACCGGAUAAUAUUUUGAACCGCAUGGUUCAAAAGUGAAAGACGGUCUUGCUGUCACUUAUAGAUGGAUCCGCGCUGCAUUAGCUAGUUGGUAAGGUAACGGCUUACCAAGGCAAAGAUGCAUAGCCGACCUGAGAGGGGCGACCGCCCACCUGGGAACAGAGACCGGGCCGAGACCCCGCGGGGAGGCGCAAGGGGGAAUGCUCCCGGAAGGGCGGAAGGCCGGAGGGCGCAGGCGCGCGGGAUGAAGAAGGGUGUCGGGAUCGAAAACCUCUUUUAUGAGGAAAAAACAUAUGUGUAAGUAUUUGUGCACUUCUGGAGGGUACCUAAUAAGAAACCCAGGGCAAAUUCCGUC
rnacentral:rRNA from 1 species